UUCUGAAAGAGGGUCAUAUUUCUCCCGCCGUUUACCCGCGCUUGGAUGAAUUUCGUCACUUUGACAUUCAGAGCACUGGGCAGAAAUUACAUUGCGUCAUCACCUGUCACCGACCAUCGCAAUGCUUUGUUUUAAUUAGAUAGUCCGAUUCCCUUAGUCCGUGCCAGUUCUGAGUCGGCUGUUAGUUGCCAGGCGAAACCGUCGGUCCGCACGAAAGCACGGUCACGGUCUGUGGCAAAGCAGAGACAUUCCACGGGUAGGCCCCGACACUGGUCCGGGACGAACCGGACUGAGUCGCCCCAGCCAGUCUCGCCCAGUCCCGGUGCAGUGCCACACCCGCUUCGGAUCCCAGCCCGACGGGCCCAGUCCUCAGAGCCAAUCCUUGACCCGAAGUUACGGAUCGAACUUGCCGACUUCCCUUAUCUACAUUGUUCUAUCGACUAGAGGCUGUUUACCUUGGAGACCUGCUGCGGAUAUGGGUACGGACCGGACCGGAAAUCACACUCUCUCCCUCGGAUUUGUAAGGGCCGACAGAGGCGCACGGGACACCACAAGAGCCGCGGUGCUUUUACGGAGACAGCGUCCUUAUCUCCGGACGAGCCGAUUCCAGGGACAUGAAUCCUUACAAAGAAAAGACAACUCUUCCCCGGGUCCUCCGUCGACGUCUCCGAGUUCGGUUGCGUUACUGCACUUGUUCCCGAGGGGACUAUUUCCGUGUCCGGGUUGAGGAAUAUCGACCCCAUUCCCUUUCGGUCGGCA